rnacentral:rRNA from 1 species
UACAGAGGUGACAAACGUUGUCCGGAAUUAUUGGGCGUAAAGGGCGCGUAGGUGGUUGAGUAAGUCAGGUGUGAAAGCUCUGGGCUUAACCCAGGAAUUGCAUCUGAUACUGCUCGGCUUGAGUACGGUAGAGGAGGGUGGAAUUCCCAGUGUAGCGGUGAAAUGCGUAGAUAUUGGGAGGAACACCGGUGGCGAAGGCGGCAUCCUGGACCGACACUGACGCUGAGGAGCGAAAGCCAGGGGAGCAAACGGG